rnacentral:lncRNA from 10 species
CACAUGUUAACCAAUACCAUGGGUAUGGCUCAGACAGUAAUUCUCUUCCCACUGCUGUCAUUUUGUCUUCAAGCCUUUAUCUGCAUGCUCAGUCAGGAGCUUCACACCAUGGUCAGAUGUGUUUGUCCUCAGUCACCAGACCACAGAGAGGUAUCAAGUCUCAAUUAAUACACACACACACACACACACACACACACACACACUUCAGAUCUUUAUUUUAGUGACUGUCAUAUGGGGAAAACCCUAUGUGUAAAUAAAGGUAUGUGCUCAAAGCUUUGUUCAGUGGUGCAUUCAACCAAUAUUGGGCACCUGCAAUGUGGCAGGGCCUGCCACGGGCCCCGAGGAUGCAUCAGUAAACAACAUAAAGCCCCCACACCGACCUCCCCCGAGCCAUCAAAGAGACAGACACGACAGUGAUGGUUUAAGACAAUUAGCAGUGCCCAAAAAUUCCUCCCAAGAUGGAAAAUUAAUCUUCCAAUUAGGCCAUGAGGAGCUCCUGCAGAUGACAUGCAUUCAUUUCCCUCAACUGUUCCUUCUCCACAGCAACCACGUGCCCUCCCCCAUAUUCCAACUUGACAAAGCGGUGGAAAUCUGAGGCACUGCAAAGAGAGAGGUCUCGGCCACGAGAAGCACCUCUUGUCUCAUGGAUAUAUGGGAUCCGUUGUGAUCCCGAGGACAAGCACGUCUUUCCACGCCUCAGGAGAGCUGUGCUGCCCACCGCUGCCCGCCCGGAGAUUGCGCCGAGCUGGCGUGUGCCACAAAGGGUGAUCACCACGCUGUGUCCACUGCACUCCAAUGCCAUGAUGGUCGGAGCUGCUGCUGCUGCUACUCACUUGGCCACAGACGGCGGUCACUGAUGGCGGUCACCUGCACAGCAGGGGCUCGACGUUUUGACAUCUAGGGGAGCCUCGCAGACACUGGGAGAGACCGCCCCUUCCAGAGCUGGCUAGUUCCCAAAGACACCACCUCCAUCAGUUAAAAUCCCGCAGCACAAAUGAGACAGACGCAGCAAGGAAGACAGUUUCCACGCAGCCGAAACACACACAGCUGGGACUUCUUUCUUCUGUAGCCAAAAGACAUCGUGAUUUAGCGCCAUCAGCUUUGCUUGAGAAAACGACCUUCCCUAACCACACGUUUCCGAAGAAGUGUCAUCUCUGCUCAGCCUGCUAGGUUGGGAGACUAAAAUGUGAAGAUGGGUCUGGCUCAGGGUCCCACUGCUGUCUCAGCAAGUCUGGCCAGAAGCUAACUGGAGUCAGGCCAAGGGGGCAUCACUGUCAGACCCUUGGCCCACCCAAGUGCCCACCCACACAUCUGUCGCGUGCCACCCCGGGCUGCCCUGUCCUCUGGGGUGGGGUAUCGCGCAGUUCUGACUGGGACCCAUGCAGCUGUCCUCUCGUGCAAUUGCUAAGAAGGUGAAGUGGGGUCACAAAAGGCCAUUCUAGACCAGCAGGUGCUCGAUGGGAGGCCUGGGGGUGGCCACAGCCUUUCGUUCUGGUCUCCAGGUAUUGAAGGCCACCAAGCAUCCCGCCUUCCACACAUCCUCCUCUCGGCAGGGAGGGAGAACAGAAUAGGGCUGCGUGGCGGUUUCCUCCUGGAUCCCACAUACACAGAGGAGCUGGCUGUGCUGCAGGUACAUGGGGCUUUCCCUUCAGCGGACAGCUCCCUCCACCAGCCAUUCUCCCACAGCCCACACGCUCACACCAUCAGGCAGGCAUGCCCCGAUGUGCGAUGUCCUUCAUCAAAACCCCUCGUGAUAGUGCAGCUUAAUGCCAUCCGAGUGCUGGAAAGAACCACAGGCCCCAGCUCUCACCCUGGAGCCGCAGCAGGGCCCACGCUCUCUCUGAGCCUCGGUGUCCACCACAGUCUCAGCAGGGGCAGCACCAAGUAACAUCUGGUCCCCCUGCCCCCUGCGUCUGUACUUUUGAGGCCUCCCUGGCUCCCCUCACCCUGUCUGAACACGCCACUCUGUCAUCUCAAGGCUUUGUGUCUCCCAUGAAGCCUUCAGCAGGUUCUGCCCUGGUCACCCCUGGCUGCCCAUCAGCAGGGCUCAGGUCCCAGAGGCACCGAGGGAGCUUCAGAUGGUGCCUCCUGCCAAGACAGGCCCCCUGAGCGAACGUGAGGUCAGGCCUGAAAAGAAAGCAAGGAAGGCCUGCUGAGGAUGUACCUCCUUUCCCAGGCAGGCACCUGCAGAAGGCCACAGCCCCAACUGUUCCCCGAGGAGGUGUCCCCACAUAGCCAUCCGUGGCACAGUGGCUCCCACUCAGGGCCCUGCUAAUGUCCUCGGACAUCCAUCUACACCUCUCUCCCUGCACACACUGCAGGCGUGCCAGCUCAGGAGCUCAAACCUCUGCAAACACGAUUAUUUAGCAAAACCCAGACAUGACACCCCAGAAGCGGCACCCCCACUCUGUAGUCAGACCACAACCUUUUUAGGGACAAGGAGUGGAGUCAGGCUCCCGCAGCACCUACCACCACCUUGGGCACAUUGCUGAUGCUCAAAUCAAAUCUUUCGAACCACAAUGAGACAGCGCCUCCCCCACCCUCCAGGAUGAAGAUAACCAAGAAGAGAGAUGGGAACAGAAGCAGGCAAGGGAGUGGAGCAAGUGGAGCCCUCAUCCGACGCUGGAGAGGAGGUCCAACGGCGCAGCCACUCUCUGGAACAUGGUUUGUCCCUCCUCCACUGAGGGACACACGACUCCACACGGCCCAGCAGCUCCACUCCUAGGAAUCUACCCGAGAGAAACGAAAUCGCGUCCACACAAAAGCCUGUACAAGAAUGUCCAAGUGUGUAAAAGCCAAAAAGUGGGAACAACCCAAAUGUCCAGCAUGUGAUAAACAUAAUAUUGGAUUAAAAAGAUGCUGUAUCAUAUGGUGCAGUAUCACUCAGCCUUUAAAAGGAAGGAAUCACUGAAUCAUGCUAAACGUGGUCAAGCCUUGAAAACAUGAUGCUGAGUGAGAAGAUGGACACAAAGGUCAUGUAUUAUACGAUUCCAUUUAUAUGAACUGUCCCAGAUGGGCAAAUCCGUAGAGAUGAAAUGGAGAUUUGUGGUCGCCAGGGCCGGAGGUGAUUGGUUAGAGGGAUUCAGGAGGAGGGAGUGACUUCUAAUGGUACAGGUUUUGGGGGGGAAUAUAAAAAAAGAUUACUCUUCACAAAUGUUAAUAUUGAUUUGGGUGAUGACUGCGCCACUCUGAAAAUACAGCCACGUGCUGCUGUCAACAUUUCAGUCAAGGAGGGACUGUGUAUGCAAUGGCGGUCCCAUAAGAUUGCAAUGGAGCUGAAAACUUUUUAUCACCAAGUGAGGUCACAGCCCCAGGGACGUCGUAGCUCAAUGCAUUCCUCACGCGUCUGUGAUGCUGCUGGCCUAAACAGACCUCCUGCACUGCCAAUCUAAUUAAAGUCUAGCACAUACAAUUUUGUAGGUACAUAGUACUCAAUAAUAAGAAAAAACUAUGUUACUGGUUUAUGCAUUUACUAUAUUUUUUAGAGUAUAUGCCUUCUACUUAUUAAAAAAUAAAGAGGCUGGGUGCAGUGGCUCACGCCUGCAAUCCCAGCACUUUGGGAGGCUGAGGUGGGAGGAUUAGCUGAGGUCAGGAGUUUGAGACCAGUCUGGCCAACAUGGUGAAACCCCGUCUCUACCAAAAAUACAAAAUUAGCCAGGCAUGGUGGUGCAUGCCUCUAAGUCCCAGCUACUUGGGAGGCUGAGGCAGAAGAAUCGCUUGAACCCGGGGGGUAGAAGAUGAAGUGAGUCAAGAUCGUGCCAUUGCACUCCAGCCUGGGUGACAAGAGCAAAACUCCGUCUCAAAAUAAAAUAAGAGAGUAAACUAGGGGCCAGGUGCAGUGGCUCAUGCCUGUAAUCCCAGCACUUCGGG